rnacentral:rRNA from 1 species
UUCGGAGGAUCCGAGCGUUAUCCGGAUUUAUUGGGUUUAAAGGGUGCGUAGGCGGUUUGAUAAGUUAGAGGUGAAAUGUCGGGGCUCAACCCCGAAACUGCCUCUAAUACUGUUGGACUAGAGAAUAGUUGCGGUAGGCGGAAUGUAUGGUGUAGCGGUGAAAUGCUUAGAGAUCAUACAGAACACCGAUUGCGAAGGCAGCUUACCAAACUAUAUCUGACGUUGAGGCACGAAAGCGUGGGUAGCAAACAGG